ensembl:snRNA U1 U1 spliceosomal RNA
AUACUUACCUGGCAGGGAAGAUAACAUGAUCAUGAAGUUUGUUUUCCUGGGGACAGACUUAUCCAUUGCAUUCUGGAUGUACUGACCCCUGCGAUUUCCCCAAAUGUGGGACACUCGGCUGCAUGAUUUGUGGUAGUCGGGGAUUGACCUCACCUUUCCCCCU